rnacentral:rRNA from 1 species
UACGUAGGGUGCGAGCGUUAAUCGGAAUUACUGGGCGUAAAGUGUGCGCAGGCGGCUUCGCAAGUCGAGUGUGAAAUCCCCGAGCUUAACCUGGGAAUUGCGCUCGAAACUACGGAGCUGGAGUGUGGCAGAGGAAGGUGGAAUUCCACGUGUAGCGGUGAAAUGCGUAGAGAUGUGGAGGAACACCGAUGGCGAAGGCAGCCUUCUGGGCUGAGAUUGACGCUCAGGCACGAAAGCGUGGGGAGCAAACAGG